rnacentral:misc_RNA from 1 species
GAUGAAGAACGUAGUGAAAUGCGAUAAGUAGUGUGAAUUGCAGAAUUCAGUGAAUCAUCGAAUCUUUGAACGCACAUUGCGCCCCAUGGUAUUCCGUGGGGCAUGCCUGUUCGAGCGUCAUUUACCCCCUCAAGCUCCGCUUGGUGUUGGGCGUUUGUCCCGCUUCGCGCGCGGACUCGCCCCAAAGGUAUUGGCAGCGGUCGUGCCAGCUUCUCGCGCAGCACAUUGCGCUUCUCGAGGCACCGGCGGGCCCGCAUCCAUCAAGCUCCACCCCAGUUUGACCUCGGAUCAGGUAGGGAUACCCGCUGAACUUAAGCAUAUCAAUAAGCGGAGGA